UGUUCGGAUGCGCGCCUUGUCCCGCCGUGGUUCACAAGCAGUUGGCGUAUUUCGGGCGUCAUUUUGAGGAUUUUUUUCCCCUUUGUAAGGCAUUACAACCGGUGAUGGGAGGAGAGCGAAAUGUGCAGUCAGUGUUACCUCCCGCGCUGUGAGCAACGGUUAGGCUGGUGCGACGCAGCUGCCAUAGGGGCGCGCGCCUGGAGUUUAGCGGAACGGCGCCAGCGCCAAUUUCUCCCCUGUCGACGGAAGGCGAAAGUACCGUCCCGUGUAUGCCGGAGUGUGCUGCUGGGCGAUUCCACGCGAAAUGAUCCAGCUGACCUGCUCGGCCCCCACAAAACGAUCCCGAAUUUUUACGAGAAUUUUUUUAGCAGUCGCUAAUAGUGCAAAACGACACACCACGAAACAUUUCUUCCCAACUCUCAACGUGGCGGGUGCUAGACACGAGCAAAGUUCGCAGCGCUGGCGAAAACCGUGCCUGGCGUGAAGGGCAGGUGCGGCUCAUAGAAAGCACCUAGAACUGUGUGGUUUUCUUUUGCGGAUAGAGGAAACUAUGCUCUACACAGCAUCCAAAUCCCGGUUGUCGUGCUGUAAUUGGUGCAGGUAUACAGAGGCCGAAAGUUUCGCAAUUUUCCUCCUACUUCGCGAUUUUUUUUGUGGACAAUCAAACCAUUAAAUUUUAAUGACUAUUUUUUUCCUGCCAAGGCACCAAGGAAUACUUCAACAGGAAAAAUCGCCAGACACGUAUCUUUCAUAGUCAUUGCAGGAAAAAAAGAGGAAGUAUGCGAUUUUUCCAAAAUUCGCUACAAUCGAGCGUAAAACACGCAAUGAAGAGGUCGGAAGAUACGCCUGAAACCAACGCAGUUUUAUAGAACGAGCCUUCCUCUACAACACAUUAAAAAAUCUCGAGGGUGUUUUUUCGUAUACAGGAGAAAAUAAUUUUUUUGUAGUAGAGGGUAUUACGACCACAAAAAGAAAAGAAAAAUGCCAACAAAAAAAGCUGUCACCAAACUUCAUCCGCACGGGCGACUUCCUGUCUUUCGUUCUGACAGUGAAAACCCCGGAGCGGCAUAGCUUUUGUAGCGAGGACAAGUCCUGAGCGUCCUAUCAUCAACUCGUGCACUCCAGUCCAAUAAAUGUAUCCCAGUGCAGUGAAUAUGUCUCUAAACCCUAUGGAACGUAAUUUCAGUGGGGCUUUAAAACAACAGUGUUGGCGCGAGACUGUCCUUUUAACCACUGAAGUCAAUAACACACCUUUGGCUUCCACUUGAGCAUCAUUUAUUCAGUUGUUAGAACAUUGCUACAGAAUAAAGCAAAUGUUGAUAUUCAGAUAAUAUAAGCCACAAGUUUAUUCGGUCUCACUGAGCUCAUUGAGGAGGUAUGUAAAGUAAAAAUACUCUAGCUUUGGGAUUAAUUCUGAAGGAAACGAGUCAUCCCGAGUGACUACCACAGUCUGUGCCUCCUUCGGACUGUACACAAACAAAACACCCUUGUACAGGUUGAGAACAUAUAACUGGACUUGGAUUUGAGUGUAGUAGCAACGUUGAUUCCUUAGUGAUGCCUGUCCAUCACACAGCUCUAGAUAUUCUACCCAACAUCGUGCACCAUCUUCAAAAAUAACGCUCCUGUGAAGUAUGCUUCCACGUUCUCCACCUUGCCGAAUCCACAAAAUAGACGCAACAUCGCCAUAGCUAGGAAAGCACGGCGGCACAACGCAGAAGUAGCCGAUCGCUUGCUUUCGCUGGAAACAGCUGCGCCUAUGGCCUGGCUGGCGCGAGACGGUAAUUACUCCGCCACCGCGAGUGUCGCUGUACGCAGUGAACUUGCACGCCACCUGGCCGAGGCGUUUCACCCUAUAGGCAUUUGUCAGCAGGUGGCCAGAACGGAAUCUUACCGAAGUUGGAUGGGAUUAGUUUUCACGCAUGAAACGCAAGCUGGACGGGACAUCGCGAAUCACCUACGAAGCACAGAAGACCAUGAUGGUUGAGUGCUUCAAGACCUUCUGUUUUGUUCGUCGACGCUGUACGGACGUUGGGGACACAUCACUAUGAAGAUACUGAUUGUGGAUUUAUUGUGUGUGUGAUUUCCGUGUUGGUGAUGGACAGUAUGCUUUCAAAACAUGUAAGUGCUGAAUCGAGUUUUUACUCUUGUUGUUCACUGUCUUGCUAGCGAUUUUUAACUGAUUGGUGAAUAUUCACACUUUUGAACAUUUGAAAUAACUUUCACCUUUAUAUGUCCCACUUGUAAUAUUUUAAUAUCUACUGUAUUGU